rnacentral:rRNA from 1 species
AGUAAAAGUCGUAACAAGGUUUCCGUAGGUGAACCUGCGGAAGGAUCAUUACCGAAUUUCAGGCUGAAAGAUGUCUAAAUUCCACACCAUGUUUUAAGCUGAAGACGUAAGUCGGAUGCGAACACAUUUUAUUCCUUGAAUAAAUCAAAACUUUCAACAACGGAUCUCUUGGUUCUGGCAUCGAUGAAGAACGCAGCGAAAUGCGAUAAGUAAUGUGAAUUGCAGAAUUUAGUGAAUCAUCGAAUCUUUGAACGCACAUUGCACCUUUUGGUAUUCCAUGAGGUAUACAUGUUCGAGCGUCGUUUAAAUCUGAGACUCACGUCUUGUGUUGACGUAUUCCGACGGAUGUUGGAACGUUGAAAAUUAUAGGCGCACGUGACUCGUGACGAACCCAACAAUCUGGAUAAGUUCGAGUUUUCAUGCUGCCGAUAAAACUUUUACAUUAACGUUCGACCUCGAAUCAUGUAGGAUUACCCGCUGAACUUAAGCAUAUCAAUAAGCGGAGGA